GGGGAUGAAAGGAUUUCGACGGGGAAUCCGAGCCCGGAUAAGCGAGUAGCGGUGCGGGACCGCUAUAAAAUCCGCAAAUUUCAAAAUUAAACGACAACAAUACAGUUGCUCUUGCUGCUUAAAUAGCAGCCGUCUCUGUGCGGAGUACUGCGGCCGCAUAAGAGGCGUCGAUCAGCAGUGAACGUGAACAGGUGAAGGCGUAUAGCCUGUCAUGAACAAUAUGCCUACUGAAAUCACAAGCCCGAUUACCGGCGUGUGACAGAGGGAAUGUCAAAAGGUAAGAUACACUCGUAGAAAGUCCCUGCAAAGGUUUUUCGGACGCGGUUUCGAUUACCGCCAUCUCCACCA
rnacentral:tmRNA from 1 species